rnacentral:lncRNA from 1 species
CCGAGCUUCUCUUAAAUUACUGAGACAGAGAGCUAUUCCACUCCACCAGACGUCCCAACUGAGCUUUAGCCGUCCGGCCCAAACUCUCUGGCAAGUCACGAUAACGGACACUACUCCACUCUCUAUAACAGAAUCUACGUGGCCCCACCACUCUCUGAUAAGUCGCGACAACAGACACUACCCCACUCUCUAUAACAGACCCCACGUGUUCCCACCACUCUCUGGCAAGUCGCGAUAAUGGACACCAUUCCACUCUCUGUAACAAACUUCACAUGGCCC